GAAUGUAAGACAGGCUUUGAGAAGUGUCUUGAGACUUACCUUGAUGCCGUGAUAAAGUAUGACGUGGAACCACGCAACGACACGUUGUCUUGCCAAAACAUCGACACGUUUGCUGGAUGUCUGGUCAAGUUGGACACCUGUGGGUCGGGCAGAAGUGAGGUUGAGAAAUUUGUCAGCAGUGAAAAGUUAAGAUUAAAGCUGGCCAACUGCGAGACACCAUCAUUGAACGCAGCCUACAGUUUGUCUUCUAGUACGUACGCCUUAGGGUUGCUGAUUGUCCUAGUCUCCCUGCUAACCCGGCUAUAGUACAGCCCGUCAUUGAUCUUGUCCAUUAUAUUUUUACUUAAGUUUUGUUAUCUUGAGUAGAUUACACAUUUUUUUCUAAAUGUUUAAAUGAAACGUUUUUUUUAAAAAAGCCCUAUCAAUUUUAUAAUACGAAAUAUUACCUAAUUCUGUUAACUAACAUUUUAAAAAAACAAAAAUUCAUUUUUUAUAUGA